UACGUAGGGGGCAAGCGUUAUCCGGAUUUACUGGGUGUAAAGGGAGCGCAGACGGCAGUGCAAGUCUGGAGUGAGAGCCCGGGGCCCAACCCCGGAACUGCUCUGGAAACUGUGCGGCUAGAGUACUGGAGGGGCAGGCGGAAUUCCUAGUGUAGCGGUGAAAUGCGUAGAUAUUAGGAGGAACACCAGUGGCGAAGGCGGCCUGCUGGACAGUAACUGACGUUGAGGCUCGAAAGCGUGGGGAGCAAACAGG
rnacentral:rRNA from 1 species